AACGAACGUUAGCGGCGCGCUUAACACAUGCAAGUCGAACGAGAAAGGGCUUCGGCCCCGGUACAGUGGCGCACGGGUGAGUAACACGUGGGUAACCUUCCCUCGAGCGGGGGAUAACGUUCCGAAAGGAACGCUAAUACCGCAUAAGACCACGGGCUCGAAAGAGCCUGGGGUAAAAGUAGGCCUCUGAAUUCACGCUUACACUCGAGGAUGGGCCCGCGGCCCAUCAUGGUAGUUGGUAGGGUAACGGCCUACCAAGCCGAAGACGGGUAGCGGGUCUUAGAGGAUGAUCAGCCACACUGGAACUGAGACACGGUCCAGACUCCUACGGGAGGCAGAAGGGGGGAAUCUUGCGCAAUGGGGGAAAGCCUGACGCAGCGACGCCGCGUGGGUGAUGAAGGCCUUCGGGUUGUAAAGCUCUGUGGGGAGAGACGAAUAAGACGUGGCUAACAUCCACGGCGAUGACGGUAUCUCCUUAGCAAGCACCGGCUAACUCUGUGCCAGCCGCCGCGGUAAGAC
rnacentral:rRNA from 1 species